AUUGAACGCUGGCGGCAGGCCUAACACAUGCAAGUCGAGCGGAUGAAGGGAGCUUGCUCCUGGAUUCAGCGGCGGACGGGUGGGUAAUGCCUAGGAAUCUGCCUGGCAGUGGGGGAUAACGUCCGGACACGGGCGCUAAUACCGCAUCCGUCCUGAGGGAGAAAGUGGGGGAUCUUCGGACCUCACGCUAUCAGAUGAGCCUAGGUCGGAUUAGCUAGUUGGUGGGGUAAAGGCCUACCAAGGCGACGAUCCGUAACUGGUCUGAGAGGCUGAUCGGUCACACUGGAACUGAGACACGGUCCAGACUCCUACGGGAGGCAGCAGUGGGGAAUAUUGGACAAUGGGCGAAAGCCUGACCGAGCCAUGCCGCGUGUGUGAAGAAGGUCUUCGGAUUGUAAAGCACUUUAAGUUGGGAGGAAGAGCAGUAAGUGAAUACCUUGAUGUCUUGACGGUACCAACAGAAUAAGCACCGGCUAACUUCGUG
rnacentral:rRNA from 1 species